GCCCGUAUAGCUCAGUGGUAGAGCGCUUCACUCGUACUAACCAUCUGCGAUAUGAAGAGGUCCGCGGUUCAAUCCCGCGUGGGGGCA
rfam:Sordaria macrospora k-hell, WGS project CABT02000000 data, contig: 2.49